rnacentral:rRNA from 1 species
CAGCCGCCACGGUAACACGUAGGUGGCAAGCGUUGUCCGGAAUUAUUGGGCGUAAGGGGCUCGCAGGCGGUUUCUUAAGUCUGAUGUGAAAGCCCCCGGCUCAACCGGGGAGGGUCAUUGGAAACUGGGAAACUUGAGUGCAGAAGAGGAGAGUGGAAUUCCACGUGUAGCGGUGAAAUGCGUAGAGAUGUGGAGGAACACCAGUGGCGAAGGCGACUCUCUGGUCUGUAACUGACGCUGAGGAGCGAAAGCGUGGGGAGCGAACAGGAUUAGAUACCCCCGUAGUCCCUGUCUCUUAUAC